GGGAUGAUCUCCUUUACCUUUUCUAGAUAAUUGGCCAUACUGUCCUCUUGAGCUUCAUAAUUUUUGCUGACCUAUCCCACUACUAAUUGAGAGUCACUAUAGGCUUGAAGCCGAUCUACUUCUAACUCUUUGGCGAUCCUUAGUCCCGCAAUCAGAGCUUCAUAUUCUGCCCCGUUAUUUGUCACAGAGAAUUCAAAGUGCAGUGCAUACUCCACGAUAAUUCCAUUUGGAUUGACCAAGACCAGGCUCGUGCCUGUACCUGAUAUGUUGGAGGAAUCAUCCACGUAGAGGGCUCAAAAACCAUCAGGGAGAUCUGUUCUUUCUCCAGGAGAGUUCGGCUGGAGCCCUAGGUUGUCGGCUUCAUCUCAUCCAAGUUCGGCCUCUUUUGGGAUAGUGCAUUCCACCACGAAGUCUGCUAAUAUCUGGGUUUUUAUCACCAACUG
rnacentral:lncRNA from 1 species